rnacentral:rRNA from 1 species
GGGCCCGCACAAGCGGAGGAACAUGUGGUUUAAUUCGAUGAUACGCGAGGAACCUUACCUGGGCUUAAAUGUAGAUUGCAUGUGGUGGAAACACCCUUCCCUUCGGGGCUAUCUACAAGGUGCUGCAUGGUUGUCGUCAGCUCGUGCCGUGAGGUGUCGGGUUAAGUCCCAUAACGAGCGCAACCCUUAUCGUUAGUUGCCAUCAGGUAAUGCUGGGGACUCUAGCGAGACUGCCACCGUAAGGUGAGAGGAAGGUGGGGAUGACGUCAAAUCAGCACGGCCCUUAUGUCCAGGGCUACACACGUGUUACAAUGGCAGGUACAAAGGGCAGCUACACCGCGAGGUGAUGCUAAUCUCUAAAGCCUGUCCCAGUUCGGAUUGGAGUCUGAAACCCGACUCCAUGAAGUUGGAUUCGCUAGUAAUCGCGCAUCAGCCAUGGCGCGGUGAAUACGUUCCCGGGCCUU